rnacentral:rRNA from 1 species
GAAGAAAGAGGGGGGAGGGAUGAAUACAUGCAAGUCGAACGCAAAGGCCCUGCUUUUCUUCUCUGCUCGAGUGGCGAACGGGUGAGUAACACGUGAGUAACCUGCCUUUGACUUUGGGAUAACUUUUGGAAACUGUGGCUAAUACCGCAUAAGAGCUCCUGUUGCAUGGCGGGUGUUGGAAAGUUUCGGCGGUUGGGGAUGGACUCGCGGCUUAUCAGCUUGUGGGUGAGGUAGUGGAAUAGAAAGGCUAUGGCGGUCAGCCGGCCUGGGAGUGUGACCGGGCACAGUGGGACUGGGGUGGGACCAAGAGGGCAACGGGAGGAAGCAGUGGGGAACAGAGCGCAAUGGGCGGAGGCCGGAUACAGCAACGCCGCGUGCGGGAGGACGGCCGUAGGGUUGUAAACCGCGUUCGCCUGGAAAGAAGAGUGAGUGACGGUAAUGGGUAAGAAAGCACCGGCUAACUACGUG